UUUGAUUUGGCAGAAGAAUGCACCUGACUUAGGAUCAGUCUAUAGUCUAUUGACUAAUCGGAA
rnacentral:tRNA from 1 species